ACCCAGCAAGAAACGUUAGGGUCACAUGAGACUAAUGUAAGACAAACCGGUGAGACAGUUAGGCUAACAAAAUCCCUCACGUUAGGCUCAGGUUCGACAAAAUUCAGGCUAAUAUGACACACUUUUGUUAGACAUAUUUUCGAGCUCGACCCUUUGUUAGGUAUGUUUUGGCUAACAUGAGCCUAACGUUAGGCAUAUUUUGCACUGGGCUGUUAGACCCCGGUUAGGCAUUAUUUUUAUGCUGGCUUAUUUACAUCUAGCUGUCAUCCACAGUAGAAGUAAAGUUGUGGUAGUGAACAUGGUUAGAUUUUCACUACCACAACUUUACUACUGCCUUGGAUGGAAGCUAGAUGUAAACAAGUUGAAAAAUAACCCUCUGUACCCGAUCUAGAGACGUUCCGAAAGGUUCCGACGAAUACGGUGAAUCCGGCUACUACUGGCAUCUGCGGCGGAACCGGACCAACGUAAUGACGCGGAUUCGACGUUCUCGUGAACUAAAUUCGAGCGCGAUAGAUUCCUCGAAGGAGGAAUGCAUCGGGAUCCUAGUAGCGAAGCAUAUUUAACGGAGGAGCAGCUGUAAACUGCACUAGUAGCAGUAUAAUUCGCGGUAGUGACCACCGACAAGGACACCGUUGGCGACGAGGCUCAUCGGCAGCUAAAGAUUAGUCGAGCUCCAUUAUACUGGGGACGUUCCAAUCCAAUGUGUGUGGUGAAAAAUAUGUUCCGGUGAAGGAAUUCGGUGAAGUGAACGCAAGGGUGCCCGUCGUAGGUGACAAAUAGUUUGAUUGCACCAGAAGAGUGGCAUCUCACUCGAACACUACCGGUCCUAUUAGAUCAUUUUUCAUAAUCCCACGGCAUUGGCCGGGCGUGCAACAAUGGUUGCCUCUGUUUUGAAUCCGUUCAGGCCCGGCCAAUAGUAUUGGAUAACUUGGAAUCCCUUAGCGGCACUGGAUGGAUACCAACCUCCUUCUGAACUAAAACUGAAUCUUCUGCAAGGAUACUCCUGAUCAUCAUAAACCGACCUAGCCCGGGUAUGGCUUACGAUGCAAUAGGAGUAAAGUUCAUAUCGGAUUCUGAAGGAGACGCUUUUGAUUUAAAAAUCUUAGAUAAGUUUUUCAAUUAGUAAGGUAGAUCAUAAAAAUAUUAUAUUUACAUUACUGUUUUACGUUGGUUUGAUUAUUUCUCAAUAAAGCAUAGUGUAUCACCAACAUAAAUGCACAUUA